GAUCAUGGCUCAGGAUAAACGCUAGCUACAGGCUUAACACAUGCAAGUCGAGGGGCAUCAGUUUGGUUUGCUUGCAAACCAAAGCUGGCGACCGGCGCACGGGUGAGUAACACGUAUCCAACCUGCCUCAUACUCGGGGAUAGCCUUUCUAAAGAAAGAUUAAUAUCCGAUAGCAUAUAUUUCCCGCAUGGGUUUUAUAUUAAAGAAAUUCGGUAUGAGAUGGGGAUGCGUUCCAUUAGUUUGUUGG
rnacentral:rRNA from 1 species